UACAGAGGGGGCUAGCGUUGUUCGGAAUUACUGGGCGUAAAGGGCGCGUAGGCGGCCUGUUAAGUCGAACGUGAAAUCCCCGGGCUCAACCCGGGAACUGCGUCCGAUACUGGCAGGCUUGAAUCCGGGAGAGGGAUGUGGAAUUCCAGGUGUAGCGGUGAAAUGCGUAGAUAUCUGGAGGAACACCGGUGGCGAAGGCGGCAUCCUGGACCGGUAUUGACGCUGAGGCGCGAAAGCCAGGGGAGCAAAGCGGG
rnacentral:rRNA from 1 species